rnacentral:rRNA from 1 species
GGCUUAGAGUUUGAUCAUGGCUCAGGAUGAACGCUGGCGGCGUGCCUAACACAUGCAAGUCGAGCGAAGCACUUUACUUUGAGAUCUUCGGAAGGAUAAGUUUUGUGACUGAGCGGCGGACGGGUGAGUAACGCGUGGGUAACCUGCCUCAUACAGGGGGAUAACAGUUAGAAAUGACUGCUAAUACCGCAUAAGACCGCAGCACCGCAUGGUGCAGGGGUAAAAACUCCGGUGGUAUGAGAUGGAACCGCGUCUGAUUAGCUAGUUGGUAAGGUAACGGCUUACCAAGGCAACGAUCAGUAGCCGACCUGAGAGGGUGACCGGCCACAUUGGGACUGAGACACGGCCCAAACUCCUACGGGAGGCAGCAGUGGGGAAUAUUGCACAAUAGGGGAAACCCUGAUGCAGCGACGCCGCGUGAGCGAAGAAGUAUUUCGGUAUGUAAAGCUCUAUCAGCAGGGAAGAAACUGACGGUACCUGACUAAGAAGCACCGGCUAAAUACGUGCCAGCAGCCGCGGUAAUACGUAUGGUGCAAGCGUUAUCCGGAUUUAAUGGGUGUAAAGGGAGCGUAGACGGAUAGGCAAGUCUGGAGUGAAAGCCCGGGGCUCAACCCCGGGACUGCUUUGGAAACUGUUUAUCUAGAGUGCUGGAGAGGUAAGUG